rnacentral:tRNA from 1 species
UCCCUGGCAGUCCAAUAGCUAAGAUUCUGUGCUCCUAAUGCAGGGGACCUGGGUUCAAUUCCUGGUCAGGGAA